rnacentral:lncRNA from 1 species
CUUAUGAGUAACAAUGAAUAUUACUUUUGAAUCAGAAUUCACAUUUAUUUCACAUUUGCCCAUGGAGUUUGCCCAUGCAUUUACAUUUAAGAACAUAUGUAAGCAUUUAAGUGAGAGAUUUCACUUGAGAAAUUCCAGAGAGAGGAAACUACCAGAGCAGGGAAGUGAGGAGUGGGCAUUUAUUUAUUGAGAGGCAACCAUGCCUGUGUGUCGAGGAGUGGAUGGGACAGGUGUCAGACUCUACUGAUGCCACACCCAUCCCAGAGAACCACCAGGUAACACAGAGAGCAAAAGGGGCCAUGGCUUCUGAUCCAGGUUAGGCUGGUGGUGACUGCAGACACCUUCAUCUCCUGGCAUGGUCUCUGAAGUUGGCUCUUUCUGAUUUGUUUGUUGUUUUUUUUUCUUUUAUUCCAGGUGAUCAAGUCUGCCCUGUGGUCCCUGGUGCUGAGCAUUGAUGUUGGCAGGUGCAGCCUGGGGCAGUGGUAGAAGGGGAGCAGAGGCUGCAAUUCCUGUCACACCCCAGCCUCAAGAGGCUGGCAGAGCAUGGAGUGAACUUCAGCUUCUCUGGGGCCCAGGGGCUGCUUUUGGACACACAUCAGGCACUAAAGAUGGCCCAGGCUGUGGAUUACCUGUGAACUUCAAUGCUGAACAUUACUGA